ACACACCCUUUCUAACUCUUGUAAAAUGAAAACAUAUUGGCUGGGGCGUAAGUUACAACAGCGGCGGGCAGAGUCAGCUUCAAAACCUCUGUGACUUCACACAGGAGAACUUCGUGGGCGGGGCAUCUGCCUCACAUGGCUAUUCGGGGACCCAGGCUGCCCCUUCCUGCGGCCACACCACUGUCUGUGGCCCUUAAGGGUGACUCCGAAGGCCACCAACAAAGCGACAGCUGGAGACGGUCGCACCGGGAUGCCGAACGCAGUAACUUCCCUACAAGCCCUGCGGCACCGAGGAUUAGGCAGCAACUAACGUUGAGAACGAUGAGCCUGAAUUAGUGAAAGGUCCUAAGUCACUGAAGAAAGAAGUGAAGAAUCUGGACACUCACGAAGCUUACUGAUCAGUUACCCUACAUUUUAAUUACGUUCUCCAACCCUUUGAUUCGGAGAGAACACCCAAUAGACGUGAGUGCUCCUGGGUGCCGUCCUGGGCACAGGGCUCGCCUCGGGCGAGCGUGGCCGAGUUAAGGAUCAAGGGCAGGUACGGCGGGGCUGUUACAUAAGAGAACACUCGGCACACACAUCACUUCUGAAACCACAGAAGCCAAACCACAGUGGAAAAUUCAGCUACUCUGGAAAGAAUCAGCAAGAUAAUUUUCUGCAAAGUUUCCUACUCUGGUAUGCCUUCUUCUAAGGUGGCCUAUAUUUCUAGUGCUUCUUAAAGCCCACAUGAUUAAAGAGCACCGAGUCUCCGAAAACAAUGUACGUAUACACAUCCUAUCACCACGGCUGAGGCUGGGGACAGGUGGUGGACGACACGUGCUGUGGAAAAGCAGCAGGGGUCCCGCCAGCUCGACCCUGGGAAGGAGUCUGCCUCUGGCUCUGGGUUCGAGCUCACAGACGGGGCUACGUGUGAGAUUUCAGGUGUCUCCCAAGACUGAAGAUGCUAAUCCUUUUCUUCAACAUGUAUAGAAGCCUCUGAGAAUUCUGAAGAUCUUCAUCAACUCAGGUGCUGAAGAUCACCUAGGGCUUAACGCACACGUGGACGCCCCCACCCCUCGGGUCCCAGCGGUCCCAGAAGCGGGCUGGCCCAAACCUGCUGGACUCUGAGUCCCGCCGCGGGUCCCCAGGGCGCUGGCCAUGCACGGGCUGGUCACCUCGCGGCCCAGCACCAGCAGGACACAGGAGGACACGGCAGGGCCCUCUCUCUCGGUGCCUGCGCCCGGGGCUCCCGCCGCGGCCCUCCCCUCCUCACCGCCCUCCCCCCCCCCCCCCCCGCCUUCUCUUCUGCACCUGCGCCCUGGCCCAUGGCUGCUCCCCUCUCUCCGUCCUUACUCGCCCACGACGCAUCAACUGAACGUUUCUUUUUGCUUUUGUAAAGUUGGCCAGUAAACACGAUUUCCACGUUUUUUGAGCCCUCAAUUUAUUUCCUCCGUAGGGAAAACAUGUAAGGCUCUCUGCUGUUUCUUAGGACACACACAGCCAAGUAUGUUUAUGCUCCCAUGGCGACUGGGUUCUUUUUUUUUAAUAAGAAAUGGGAAUCGCUGUGCUGCUCCCCUACGGCUCGAACACACGGAACUAGAUAAAUGACAUAAUCGGACCUGUUGCCAUCACUGAGCACACUGUGUAGACGGGGUUAUUUAAAUACUGAAAUGUGAACAGAAGACCAGUAAGUACUUCCAGGCAGUUUUUGGUGGCUGGUGCUCUGACAACACAAUUGCAGGAGUCGCGCUGGCUUUGAGCACAGCUGUGCCCGUCCCCCCGAGGACGUCAGCCGUGUCUGCCCGGGCCCAGGGUCCUGCUUGGCCGGCCCGUCCGCAUCCCCCACCGGUUUCCCUCGCCAGGCGGUUGGCGCCUCGUAGGCACCGCCCCAGCCCAGGCUGGCAGCUUUUUUCCCUGCAUGACAGGGACGGUUUUGGAAGUCCUAGAAGGUCGGGGCUGGAGGCACCUGGGGCAGCAGCUUCCCCCGAAGCAGCAGAGGAGAACCCUCAGUUGGCGACGGCGGCUCAUUCACCGUCGGCCCCGGACUCGUCAUCCCGGAUGCCCGCUUCACAGUCUCUUCAACGAUCACGGGCAGCCGCGAAAGCCUGUUGCCUGAACUUCACCGAAAUCCUACUGGAGUCACCCGGUUUGUGCGAGUCCCAGGCAGCGGCACUGCCGAGGAGCUCGUCAGCCAAGUGCAAGGUGAAGCCGGGAGCGCUCGGAGUCCUGUCAGAGCCAACCACGGCCCAGGGCUGCACGGGGAGCAGGUGACCCGGGAGAAGAAAGGGAUGUCCUCCGGGGCUCGCCGUUGGCAGAGGGGUGAAGCGGGGGUUCACGAAUACCCUGGAGAGGAAGCCCCGGCUGUCCCCUCCAGCAGGAAAGGCAGAGUCCCCUUGAAUGGGGUCUGCCUUCCUCCCCUCUCCCUCCGCUUCCGCUCCCUUCCCUCACUUUAGAGCCUCAAGUUUUUUAAAGGACCUGAAUUAC